UAUUAGUCAUUUAGAGAACACUUGACUUGAAAAUAUUUUGUAAAGAAAAGCUAUAUUUUUCACUUCAGUGUAUUAAAUAUCAACGGAGGUUUGCGUUGUUUUAUUUUUUAACAGUACAUAAAACGACCUAACGUUACAAAUUGGUUCAAUACUAAGUUAACAAUAUGAUGAAGUUUAACUACAUCUUUUUUAUUUUCACUUUUAUUUUGGUGAUUAAAUUUACUAAAUGCAAACUAAAAGGUGUCAAUCCCGAUUCGAAAAAUGCGGUUGAAUAUGGUUGCUAUCUAAAAAAAUGUUGGUCCAGUUGUAAUUUCCCAUCAAACUCUUGGUGUUGGUCAAAUGCACUAGUAGGACAAGGGGUACGUACUUGUAAAGUUGAUAAAGACUGUGACAAAUAUCGGUACAAAUGUCAAGGUUCCUGUCAUCUAUCCUCAAGUUAAUAAAACUUUUUUUUUUAUUGAUUAUUAUUAAUUUUUUAUUUUAAACCAUUUAUUGGUUAUUUAAAAGUUUGUAAAUUUAUUAUGGCGGUUGUUUUUAUUUUUUUAUUAUUUGUAAAUAUUUUAAAAAUAUAAAAUAUUCGCCUUCGAAAUUGGUAUGUAAAUGCAUGAUUUUGUACCUUAUAAUUUCUCAUUCGGCGUGUCUCCAAUGAGGAUUGAGAAGCGGCUAGCUAAGCAUCAGGGUCAAGUUUACUAAGUUUGAAAUCUUUUUUUUUUUAAACUUAAGUUUGAGUUUAAUUAAUGUCUGAUUUGUCAUAAAGACUCCAAGGUAUCAAAAAGAAAGCAGAAACAAAUUUUGGUAUUUUUAAACAAGUGGUAAAAUUUAUGCAAAACUUUUUAAAUUCUUCAAGCAAAAUAAUAUUAAAAGCACGAACGCAUUUAUAAUGACCAAUCAAAUGUUAUUCUUUUAAGUAUUUAAAUAACAUUUUUUUUUUUUUUAAUUAUUGAAGUUUCUUUCAUCAAAUGUUUUAUCAAGUAUCAUAAUAACAAAGUUAGUUGUCACAACAAUAAGGCGUAUUUAUAAAAUGUUAUAAGAACUAAAUGUAAAGUGUUUGUUCUCUUUUAACCCAGCAUGCAACAUACAUAUAAAAUACGUCUUUGCAAACUCUGAGAAGUGCAUUUUUUAAAUAUUUAAUGCAAACCUGUAAUAUAUAUUUCUAAGUUAAGAAAUACAUCUCAACAAUAAAGAUGGAAUGUUUUCACUUGUUAAUACAUAAUUCAUAUUGACACAGUUCAUUAUUUUUUUAAAAAUAUUUAAUAUACUUAUACUGUUUACUGUUUUUUAUUUCAAGCUAUAAUAGCUUCUAAGCUAUAAUAAAUUCAUCCAUUGACCAGGUCCAUGUAGAUGGAGGGGUAAGAAAUUUAAUUCAAUAUCUUCUCACUGGAUACAUAGUUAAUGGUUUGUUAAGGGUACUUAAAUAAAAAAUACAACUUCAAUGGCUUCAAGUUUACUUCAGGCUAGAUUAACAGGUAGUAACAAAUAUUUAGUUAAUUCUUACAGGGGAAUUUAAAACUGAUCAAAAUGUUAUGAAUUCUAGACUAAUUUAGUUUAGCUUUGGUACGCUCAGUUUGUUUAUCAACGCAACAUGUUUUUCUCAUAAAACAUUAACGCAUUAACCUCAACGCGAAUUUUAUUACAAUAUAUUUUUUAUGUUCUAUUUAACUUUAGUUUUUUAAUUAAAACUAAAAUGCUUUACUCAUUAAGAGAGCUGGUGAAAUUUUUGCAGAGGUUUACUAUUUUUUUUAAUGUUAAUUUAUUGAAUGUUGUAAGCUGGUAUCAAUCUUAUUUUUUAGAUCGGAAACAACUUGUAAGUAUUAAUUUUCAUAAUUUUAGUAAUAAACUUGUGUCAUGGUUCUGUUUUUGGUUUUUAAUUUACAUUAGUGUAUUGAUCGGGGACUGUAUAUAUAAUUAUAUAUACAGUCCCCAAUCAAAUUAUUAGCCCACGUUGAUAUUUUUUGUACUUUUUAUCUUCUUAGAGGUAAAACUUAUGUUUUUAUAAAAAUGUAGAUAAAAACUGUAUAUAUAAAUAAAGUAUAACUAUUUUCUAACAUGAGCUACACAAAAUAAUAAUAAGAAUAUGUUUAUUAACUUUUUUAAUAUUUUGUUGAUCCUCCCGUAUUUUUUUUUAACUGCACGAAGACGAUUUGACAUGCUAAAAAUGCAAUUUAUAGCCAUUUUUUUCAAGUAUACAUUAUGGUUCCGAUACCAAUUAAGUUUUUCAAUCAAUUGGGUCUUAUUUGUGAACUUUUUUAGCAAAACUUCUCUAUUCAAUAGCUCCCAUACAUUUUCUAUGGUGUUUAUAUCUUAGGAGUUCCCUAGCCAAUUAAAAAGUGGAAUUUUUACAGAUGCUAAUAAUUUUUUAAUGGAUUUUGCCGUGUGACAUGGUGCUCCAUCUUGCAUAAAUAUUUUCUUCUGCUAACUUGGAAACCAUUUUUUCAAUUGAGAACAAAGAAAACAAGGUUUCUGAAAGAAGAUCAACUGAUCUUAUCAUGGUGAGAAACUACUGAACUUA